rnacentral:rRNA from 1 species
UGAUUUCCAGAGAAAGUUUUCAGCUUGGACGUUCCUUACCAAGAAAAGGGAUGGCUAAAUACCGUGCCAGCAGGCCGCGGUAAUACGUAUGUCCGAGCGUUAUCCGGAUUUAUUGGGCGUAAGCGAGCGCAGACGGUUUAUUAAGUCUGAUGUGAAAUCCCGAGGCCCAAACCUCGGAACUGCAUUGGAAACUGAUUUACUUGAGUGCGAUAGAGGCAAGUGGAACUCCAUGUGUAGCGGUGAAAUGCGUAGAUAUGUGGAAGAACACCAGUGGCGAAAGCGGCUUGCUAGAUCGUAACUGACGUUGAGGGCUCGAAAGUAUGGGUAGCAAACGGGAUUAGAUACCCCGGUAGUCCAUACCGUAAACGAUGGGUGCUAGUUGUUAAGAGGUUUCCGCCUCCUAGUGACGUAGCAAACGCAUUAAGCACCCCGCCUGAGGAGUACGGCCGCAAGGCUAAAACUUAAAGGAAUUGACGGGGACCCGCACAAGCGGUGGAGCAUGUGGUUUAAUUCGAAGAUACGCGAAAAACCUUACCAGGUCUUGACAUACCAAUGAUCGCUUUUGUAAUGAAAGCUUUUCUUCGGAACAUUGGAUACAGGUGGUGCAUGGUCGUCGUCAGCUCGUGUCGUGAGAUGUUGGGUUAAGUCCCGCAACGAGCGCAACCCUUGUUAUUAGUUGCCAGCAUUUAGUUGGGCACUCUAAUGAGACUGCCGGUGAUAAACCGGAGGAAGGUGGGGACGACGUCAGAUCAUCAUGCCCCUUAUGACCUGGGCAACACACGUGCUACAAUGGGAAGUACAACGAGUCGCAAACCGGCGACGGUAAGCUAAUCUCUUAAAACUUCUCUCAGUUCGGACUGGAGUCUGCAACUCGACUCCACGAAGGCGGAAUCGCUAGUAAUCGCGAAUCAGCAUGUCGCGGUGAAUACGUUCCCGGGUCUUGUACACACCGCCCGUCAAAUCAUGGGAGUCGGAAGUACCCAAAGUCGCUUGGCUAACUUUUAGAGGCCGGUGCCUAAAGGGUAAAAUCCGAGAUCGAAUC